rfam:Sporisorium reilianum SRZ2 chromosome 2 complete DNA sequence
UCCCGGCUAGCUCAGUCGGUAGAGCGUCAGACUCUUACUCACAAGGGUUUCCGAGCUUGUCUCGGAGUUUCAUCUGAAUGUCGUGGGUUCGAGCCCCACGUUGGGAG